CAGAGUCCUGACAAACUCUGUAGUGAUUGCAGAUAGAGAUCUGAGUCCUGGCCAACAAAAAGAUUGAAGGAGGGAUCUUGGCUGGUACCAGAAUUCACCAAUGAAGGAAUCGUUCCUGUUUGGAAAGCUCACAUGUCAAGUCACUCUGAGUGGCAGUGAUAGAAGUUCCUGAUGUCCUGCCUUCCUGAAACCAAAGGAUGGACUUCCAGAACUUGGAAUCCCAAGCAAAAGAGAUAAAGAUGGAAAAACAGUUGGAGUAUAUUCAUUUCAAGGUGCAUCAAGGUGCUGGGGACUAUCACAGAACAGACAAAGCAGAAGACAAGACUCUUGUCCUUGGAGAGAUUCCUGACCAUGUCUCCAGACCAUUUCUCAGGAUCCCACCAGCUGGACAGACUUGAUAAGACCUUAUUCUUCAGAUGAAAAAAAAACACAAACUUGUGGCAAGAAUCAGUGACUUCAAAUCAUACAGCCCUUCAUCAUCCUCACCCAGAAGCUGAAGCUGCAGGAUGCAGUGAGUAAGAGCAAAGACUGCCUUAAACUCUGCUGCGGCCGCUUGUAAUCUGUAUGACGAGGGUAUAUAACACAAGUUAACUGUUUUCUAAGAGAAAAUGCCCCAGAUGUGUUGUGAUUAGGCUAUGGUUU